rnacentral:rRNA from 1 species
UGGGGAAUAUUGGACAAUGGGCGAAAGCCUGAUCCAGCCAUGCCGCGUGUGUGAAGAAGGUCUUCGGAUUGUAAAGCACUUUAAGUUGGGAGGAAGGGCAGUAAGCGAAUACCUUGCUGUUUUGACGUUACCGACAGAAUAAGCACCGGCUAACUCUGUGCCAGCAGCCGCGGUAAUACAGAGGGUGCAAGCGUUAAUCGGAAUUACUGGGCGUAAAGCGCGCGAAGGUGGUUCGUUAAGUUGAAUGUGAAAGACCCGGGCUCAACCUGGGAACUGCAUCCAAAACUGGCGAGCUAGAGUAGGGCAGAGGGUGGUGGAAUUUCCUGUGUAGCGGUGAAAUGCGUAGAUAUAGGAAGGAACACCAGUGGCGAAGGCGACCACCUGGGCUCAUACUGACACUGAGGUGCGAAAGCGUGGGGAGCAAACAGG